rnacentral:rRNA from 1 species
UACGUAGGGGGCUAGCGUUGUCCGGAAUCAUUGGGCGUAAAGCGCGUGUAGGCGGCCCGAUAAGUCCGCUGUGAAAGUCCAGGGCUCAACCCUGGGAUGCCGGUGGAUACUGUCGGGCUCGAGUCCGGAAGAGGCGAGUGGAAUUCCUGGUGUAGCAGUGAAAUGCGUAGAGAUCAUGAGGAAGACCAGUGGCGAAGGCGGGUCUCUGGACAGUUCCUGACACUGAGACACGAAGGCCAGGGGAGCAAACGGG